UGGGAAUCUUGCGCAAUGGGCGAAAGCCUGACGCAGCCAUGCCGCGUGAAUGAUGAAGGUCUUAGGAUUGUAAAAUUCUUUCACCGGGGACGAUAAUGACGGUACCCGGAGAAGAAGCCCCGGCUAACUUCGUGCCAGCAGCCGCGGUAAUACGAAGGGGGCUAGCGUUGCUCGGAAUUACUGGGCGUAAAGGGAGCGUAGGCGGACACUUAAGUCAGGGGUGAAAUCCCGGGGCUCAACCUCGGAAUUGCCUUUGAUACUGGGUGUCUUGAGUGUGAGAGAGGUAUGUGGAACUCCGAGUGUAGAGGUGAAAUUCGUAAGAUAUUCGGAAGAACACCAGUGGCGAAGGCGACAUACUGGCUCAUUACUGACGCUGAGGCCCGAAAAGCGUGGGGAGCAAACAGGAUUAGAUACCCUGGUAGUCCACGCCGUAAAACGAUGAUUGCUAGUUGUCGGGAUGCAUGCAUUUCGGUGACGCAGCUAACGCAUUAAAGCAAUCCGCCUGGGGAGUACGGUCGCAAAGAUUAAAAACUCAAAGGAAUUGACGGGGGUCAUAGCUGUUUCCUG
rnacentral:rRNA from 1 species